rnacentral:rRNA from 1 species
UACGUAGGGAGCGAGCGUUAUCCGGAUUUAUUGGGUGUAAAGGGUGCGUAGGCGGUUUAAUAGGUCUGUGGUUUAAGUCCGAAGCUCAACUUCGGUUCGCCGCAGAAACCGUUUCACUUGAGUAUGGUAGAGGCAAGUGGAAUUUCUAGUGUAGCGGUAAAAUGCGUAGAUAUUAGAAGGAACACCAGUGGCGAAGGCGUCUUGCUGGGCCAUCACUGACGCUGAGGCACGAAAGCGUGGGGAGCAAAUA